rnacentral:rRNA from 1 species
GCAGGUGCGAAAGCAGGUCAUAGUGAUCCGGUGGUUCUGAAUGGAAGGGCCAUCGCUCAACGGAUAAAAGGUACUCCGGGGAUAACAGGCUGAUACCGCCCAAGAGUUCAUAUCGACGGCGGUGUUUGGCACCUCGAUGUCGGCUCAUCACAUCCUGGGGCUGAAGUAGGUCCCAAGGGUAUGGCUGUUCGCCAUUUAAAGUGGUACGCGAGCUGGGUUUAGAACGUCGUGAGACAGUUCGGUCCCUAUCUGCCGUGGGCGCUGGAGAAUUGAGGGGGGCUGCUCCUAGUACGAGAGGACCGGAGUGGACGCAUCACUGGUGUUCGGGUUGUCAUGCCAAUGGCACUGCCCGGUAGCUAAAUGCGGAAGAGAUAAGUGCUGAAAGCAUCUAAGCACGAAACUUGCCCCGAGAUGAGUUCUCCCUGAGACUUUAAGUCUCCUGAAGGAACGUUGAAGACGACGACGUUGAUAGGUCGGGUGUGUAAGCGCAGCGAUGCGUUGAGCUAACCGAUACUAAUGAACCGUGAGGCUUAACCUU